UUAAGCGACUAAGCGUACACGGUGGAUGCCCUGGCAGUCAGAGGCGAUGAAGGGCGUGCUAAUCUGCGAUAAGCGCCGGUAAGGUGAUAUGAACCGUUAUAACCGGCGAUACCCGAAUGGGGAAACCCAGUGUGAUUCGUCACACUAUCAUUAACUGAAUCCAUAGGUUAAUGAGGCGAACCGGGGGAACUGAAACAUCUAAGUACCCCGAGGAAAAGAAAUCAACCGAGAUUCCCCCAGUAGCGGCGAGCGAACGGGGAGGAGCCCAGAGCCUGAAUCAGCAUGUGUGUUAGUGGAAGCGUCUGGAAAGGUGCGCGAUACAGGGUGACAGCCCCGUACACAAAAGCGCAUGUGCUGUGAGCUCGAUGAGUAGGGCGGGACACGUGGUAUCCUGUCUGAAUAUGGGGGGACCAUCCUCCAAGGCUAAAUACUCCUGACUGACCGAUAGUGAACCAGUACCGUGAGGGAAAGGCGAAAAGAACCCCGGCGAGGGAGUGAAAAAGAACCUGAAAACCGUGUACGUACAAGCAGUGGGAGCACAGGUUUACCUGUGUGACUGCGUACCUUUUGUAUAAUGGGUCAGCGACUUAUAUUCUGUAGCAAGGUUAACCGUAUAGGGGAGCCGUAGGGAAACCGAGUCUUAACCGGGCGUUAAGUUGCAGGGUAUAGACCCGAAACCCGGUGAUCUAGCCAUGGGCAGGUUGAAGGUUGGGUAACACUAACUGGAGGACCGAACCGACUAAUGUUGAAAAAUUAGCGGAUGACCUGUGGCUGGGGGUGAAAGGCCAAUCAAACCGGGAGAUAGCUGGUUCUCCCCGAAAGCUAUUUAGGUAGCGCCUCGUGAAUUCAUCUCCGGGGGUAGAGCACUGUUUCGGCUAGGGGGCCAUCCCGGCUUACCAACCCGAUGCAAACUGCGAAUACCGGAGAAUGUUUAUCACGGGAGACACACGGCGGGUGCUAAACGUCCCGUCGUGAAGAGGGAAACAACCCAGACCGCCAGCUAAGGUCCCAAAGUCAUGGUUAAGUGGGAAACGAUGUGGGAAGGCCCAGACAGCCAGGAUGUUGGCUUAGAAGCAGCCAUCAUUUAAAGAAAGCGUAAUAGCUCACUGGUCGAGUCGGCCUGCGCGGAAGAUGUAACGGGGGCUAAACCAUGCACCGAAGCUGCGGCAGCGAACGUAUCACCCAAGACAACUUUACGGAGUUGACGAUUGACGGAGCGAAGCGACGUCAAAAGCGUUCAUUAAAGUCGAGUUGGCUUAGGGGAUACGUUCGUUGGGUAGGGGAGCGUUCUGUAAGCCUUGUGAAGGUGUGUCGUGAGGCAUGCUGGAGGUAUCAGAAGUGCGAAUGCUGACAUAAGUAAACGAUAAAGCGGGUGAAAAGCCCGCUCGCCGGAAGACCAAGGGUUCCUGUCCAACGUUAAUCGGGGCAGGGGUGAGUCGACCCCUAAGGCGAGGCCGAAAGGCGUAGUCGAUGGGAAACGGGUUAAUAUUCCCGUACUUGGUGUUACUGCGAAGGGGGGGACGGAGAAGGCUAUGUUGGCCGGGCGACGGUUGUCCCGUUUAAGCGUGUAGGUGGUGUGUUCCAGGUAAAUCCGGUUCACUUUAACACUGAGGCGUGACGACGAGGCACUACGGUGCUGAAGCAACAAAUGCCCUGCUUCCAGGAAAAAGCCUCUAAGCAUCAGGUAACAUCAAAAUCGUACCCCAAACCGACACAGGUGGUCAGGUAGAGAAUACCAAGGCGCUUGAGAGAACUCGGGUGAAGGAACUAGGCAAAAUGGGUGCCGUAACUUCGGGAGAAGGCACGCUGACACGUAGGUGAAGUGAUUUACUCAUGGAGCUGAAGUCAGUCGAAGAUACCAGCUGGCUGCAACUGUUUAUUAAAAACACAGCACUGUGGCAAACACGAAAGUGGACGUAUACGGUGUGACGCCUGCCCGGUGCCGGAAGGUUAAUUGAUGGGGUCAGCGCAAGCGAAGCUCCUGAUCGAAGCCCCGGUAAACGGCGGCCGUAACUAUAACGGUCCUAAGGUAGCGAAAUUCCUUGUCGGGUAAGUUCCGACCUGCACGAAUGGCGUAAUGAUGGCCAGGCUGUCUCCACCCGAGACUCAGUGAAAUUGAACUCGCUGUGAAGAUGCAGUGUACCCGCGGCAAGACGGAAAGACCCCGUGAACCUUUACUAUAGCUUGACACUGAACAUUGAGCCUUGAUGUGUAGGAUAGGUGGGAGGCUUUGAAGUGUGGACGCCAGUCUGCAUGGAGCCGACCUUGAAAUACCACCCUUUAAUGUUUGAUGUUCUAACGUGGACCCGUAAUCCGGGUUGCGGACAGUGUCUGGUGGGUAGUUUUGACUGGGGCGGUCUCCUCCUAAAGAGUAACGGAGGAGCACGAAGGUUGGCUAAUCCUGGGUCGGACAUCAGGAGGUUAGUGCAAUGGCAUAAGCCAGCUUGACUGCGAGCGUGACGGCGCGAGCAGGUGCGAAAGCAGGUCAUAGUGAUCCGGUGGUUCUGAAUGGAAGGGCCAUCGCUCAACGGAUAAAAGGUACUCCGGGGAUAACAGGCUGAUACCGCCCAAGAGUUCAUAUCGACGGCGGUGUUUGGCACCUCGAUGUCGGCUUCAUCACAUCCUGGGGCUGAAGUAGGUCCCAAGGGUAUGGCUGUUCGCCAUUUAAAGUGGUACGCGAGCUGGGUUUAGAACGUCGUGAGACAGUUCGGUCCCUAUCUGCCGUGGGCGCUGGAGAACUGAGGGGGGCUGCUCCUAGUACGAGAGGACCGGAGUGGACGCAUCACUGGUGUUCGGGUUGUCAUGCCAAUGGCACUGCCCGGUAGCUAAAUGCGGAAGAGAUAAGUGCUGAAAGCAUCUAAGCACGAAACUUGCCCCGAGAUGAGUUCUCCCUGAGACUUAGAGUCUCCUGAAGGAACGUUGAAGACGACGACGUUGAUAGGCCGGGUGUGUAAGCGCAGCGAUGCGUUGAGCUAACCGGUACUAAUGAACCGUGAGGCUUAACCUU
rnacentral:rRNA from 1 species